AUCCGAGAUCUGCUAAUAGAGGAAAAGACAAGGCAUGAAAGAGCCAGACCUCUGCAGUUGCACGUCCUCAGAAACAUCUACGUCUAAAUCUGCAGCCCCAGUUUCCUCCAGGCCCCAAGCCCAGGCAGAGGAUAUUCACAACCUAUUCCAAACCAAAAAUGAAAUGAAGCCACCUUUCCCUCAAGCGAUGCUCAGAUGGACCCAAAAGUCUCAGCUCCCAGGGAGAAGCAAACCUUGAAACACGUCCCAGUGGCUCUCACCAGCGUCUUGGGGCAGCGGAAGCCGAAAUGUCAAAUGAAUGACCGCGCCGGGGCGCAAGGGAGGAAAACAAAGCCAUCUUCCGCUGUCCGGUACCUGCGGAGCAAGGGCCGGACGCGGGCCGCGCACUCACCUGGGACUCGGCGCCCGCCGACGCGGGCUGCGGGUGGGAACCGGGCGGCGGGGCUGCAGGGUGCCCCUGCAGUCGCCGGGACCCGCGGCCCCGGCGCCUUCCAGCAAGUCCGCGCGCGCCGCAGGGAAAGCAGGCGGCCGGGAGCGCCGCCGCGCGCCGCAUGCAGCCCCCGGCUGCGGGGCCGCUGCCACCGGGCCGAGAGACCCUGCGAGGCCGUCUCCGACCCCGCGACCGGAGGAAGCGGAGAAAGAGACACAACGCGGAGCUAAGAGCGCCCAGCGCGCCCCUCAGCAGCUCUUCCCGCCGCCCUCCGCAGCGGGCUGGGUCUCGGCUCGCCUUUAUGCUGGCAUCUUCCUGGGCUCCCAACGACGCCCGAAGUUCCCCAGGCGGCUCCGCGCCGCCGCCCACCCCCGGGUUACGCCGCGCCCCCCGCGCGGCCCGCCGAUUGUGUCGAGUCAGCAGCGGCGGCGGGGACGCGCGAAGCCAUGUCUCCCGCCCGCGCUUGGGAGGGCGCCGGGGGUCCGGGCGUCCCGAGGAGGUUUACGGCCGAGCUCAGUUGCCCCGGCGCGGCGCGGCCCCGCCCCGAGCGGCCCCGCAGCGCCCGGCUCCCCGCUGCUCGCUCUCCAGGCGUCGCCCGAGAGCCGCGCGCCGGCGGGUCCGCGUCGCCCCCUCUCGCCGCUCCCCGCGGGCUCGCCCGGCCUUCCUCCCUCCGCCACCUUCCUCGGUCCCAGAGGACCGGGGGAGGGAGGCGGGAGGGACCUGGGGAGAAGACGGGAGGGACAGCCAGACCUUGGCCAGCUGGACCUUCCAGAGGAAGGUGCGGGAGAGCGGGGCGGGUGCAGAUGGGCGAAGGACGAAUCCCGAAGCUGCGGCGGAGCCGGAGCUGCUCUCCUUCUGCGACGCCGAAGGACAUGAGGGUUCUGAGAGGCGCCGCGCAGAAAGAAGUAGACCCUCUAAGGUCAAGCAGGCUGGACUCUUCCUAAAUCCCACCAGAAGGCUGAGUGGAGAAGUGCCAUGCCUCGAUUUCCCCAACUGCAAGGGCAGGACGGUAAUGCUCAUGUCACCUACACGGGGUGUGGUCACGAUUAAAAAUGGAUUAUUAAAAGCGUUCCGAG
rnacentral:lncRNA from 9 species